rnacentral:lncRNA from 1 species
AAAGGCCACAAAAACGGGUGGGUUAUAGCCUUGGGGGGUGGGGCUGGCCAACUUCGUCCGCCGGACUCGGAAUGGCGCGAGACUUUGCGAGGCGCCUCCGUGUGCCAAAAAUAGGCAGCGGGCGCAGCCGCGUCUAAAAAUAACCGCCCGAAGGCCGGGGCGCCAAGUUCGUCCAGCGGAAAAAGCCCACAAAAAUGGGUGGGCUAUAGCCUUGGGGCGUGGGGCUGCCCAACUUCGUCCGCCGGACUCGGAAUGGCGCUAGACUUUGCGAGGUGCCUCCGUGUGCAAAAAACUGGCCGCGGGCACAGCCGCGCCCAAAAAUAACCGCCCGAAGGCCGGGGCGCCAAGUUCGUCCAGCGGAAAAAGGCCACAAAAACGGGUGGGCUAUAGCCUUGGGGGGUGGGGCUGGCCAACUUCGUCCGCCGGACUCGGAAUGGAGCGAGAUUUUGCAAGGCAUCUCCGUGUGCCAAAAAUAGGCCGUGGCAAAAGCCGCGCCCAAAAAUAACCGCCCGAAGGCCGGGGCGCCAAGUUCGUCCAGCGGAAAAACGCCACAGAAACGGGUGGGCUAUAGCCUUGGGGGGUGGGGCUGGCCAACUUCGUCCGCCGGACUCGGAAUGCCGCGAGACUUUGCGAGGGACCUCCGUGUGCCAAAAAUAGGCCGCGGGCAAAGCCGUACCCAAAAAUAACCGCCCGAAGGCCGGGGCGCCAAGUUCGUCCAGCGGAAAAAGGCCACAAAAACGGGUGGGCUAUAGCCUUGGGGGGUGGGCUGGCGACCUUCGUCCGCCUCAAUCGGAAUGGCGCGAGACUUUACGAAGGGCCCCCGUGUGCCANNNNNNNNNNNNNNNNNNNNNNNNNNNNNNNNNNNNNNNNNNNNNNNNNNNNNNNNNNNNNNNNNNNNNNNNNNNNNNNNNNNNNNNNNNNNNNNNNNNNNNNNNNNNNNNNNNNNGCUGGCCAACUUCGUCCGCCGGACUCGGAAUGGCGCGAGACUUUGCGAGGCACCUCCGUGUGCUAAAAAUAGGCCGCGGACACAGUCGCGCCCAAAAAUAACCGCCCGAAAGCCGGGGCGCCAAGUUCGUCCAGCGUAAAAAGGCCGCAAAAACGGGUGGGCUAUAGCCUUGGGGGGUGGGGCUGGCCAACUUCGUCCGCCGGACUCAGAAUGGCGCGACACUUUACGAGGUGCCUCCGUGUGCAUAAAAUAGGCCGCGGGCACAGCCGCGCCCAAAAAUAACCGCCCGAAGGCCGGGGCGCCAAGUUCGUCGAGCGGAAAAAGCCCACAAAAAUGGGUGGGCUAUAGCCUUGGGGGGUGGGGCUGGCCAACUUCGUCCGCCGGACUCGGAAUGGCGCUAGACUUUACGAGGCGCCUCCGCAUGCCAAAAUUAGGCGCGGCCGCUGCCGCGCACAAAAAUAACUGCCCGAAGGCCGGGGCGCCAAGUUCGUUCAGCGGAAAAUGGCCACAAAAACGGGUGGGCUAUAGCCUUGGGGGGUGGGGCUGGCCAACUUCGUGCGCCGGACUCGGAAUGACGCGAGACUUUGCGAGGCGCCUCCGUGUGCUAAAAAUAGACCGCGGGCACAGCCGCGCCCAAAAAUAACCGUCCGAAAGCCGGGGCGCCAAGUUCGUCCAGCGGAAAAAGCCCACAAAAACGGGUGGGCUAUAGCCUUGGGGGGUUGGGCUGGCCCACUUCGUCCGCCAGACUCGGAAUGGCGCGAGACCUUGCGAGGCAUCUCCGUGUGCCAAAAAUAGGCCGCGGGCACAGCCACGCCCAAAAAUAACUGCCCGAAGGCCGGGGCGCCAAGUUCGUCCAGCGGAAAAAGCCCACAAAAACGGGCGGACUAUAGCCUUGGGGGGUGGUGCUGGCCAACUUCGUCCGCCGGACUCGGAAUGGCGCGAGACUUUGUGAGGCACCUCCGUGUGCCAAAAAUAGGCCGCGGGCAGAGUCGUACCCAAAAAUAACUGCCCGAAAGCCGGGGCGCCAAGUUUGUCCAGUGGAAAAAGGCCACAAAAACGUGUUGGCUAUAGCCUUGGGGCGGUCGGCUGGCCAACUUCGACCGCCGGUCUCGGAAUGGCGCUAGACUUUGGGAGGUGCCUCCAUGUGCAAAAAACUGGCCGCGGGCACAGCCACGCCCAAAAAUAACCGCCGGAAGGCCGGGGCGCCAAGUUCGUCCAGCGGAAAAAGGCCACAAAAACGGGUGGGCUAUAGCCUUGGGGGGUGGGGCUGGCCAACUUCGUCCGCCGGACUCGGAAUGGAGCGAGAUUUUGCAAGGCAUCUCCGUGUGCCAAAAAUAGGCCGUGGCAAAAGCCGCGCCCAAAAAUAACCGCCCGAAGGCCGGGGCGCCAAGUUCGUCCAGCGGAAAAACGCCACAGAAACGGGUGGGCUAUAGCCUUGGGGGGUGGGGCUGGCCAACUUCGUCCGCCGGACUCGGAAUGCCGCGAGACUUUGCGAGGGACCUCCGUGUGCCAAAAAUAGGCCGCGGGCAAAGCCGUACCCAAAAAUAACCGCCCGAAGGCCGGGGCGCCAAGUUCGUCCAGCGGAAAAAGGCCACAAAAACGGGUGGGCUAUAGCCUUGGGGGGUGGGCUGGCGACCUUCGUCCGCCUCACUCGGAAUGCCGCGAGACUUUACGAGGGGCCCCCGUGUGCCAAAAAUAGGCCGCAGGCAAAGCCGCACCCAAAAAUAACCGCCCGAAGGCCGGGGCGCCAAGUUCGUCCAGCGGAAAAAGGCCACAAAAACGGGUGGGCUAUAGCCUGGGGGGGUGGGGCUGGCCAACUUCGUCCGCCGGACUCGGAAUGGCGCGAGACUUUGCGAGGCACCUCCGUGUGCUAAAAAUAGGCCGCGGACUCAGUCGCGCCCAAAAAUAACCGCCCGAAAGCCGGGGCGCCAAGUUCGUCCAGCGUAAAAAGGCCACAAAAACGGGUGGGCUAUAGCCUUGGGGGGUGGGGCUGGCCAACUUCGUCCGCCGGACUCAGAAUGGCGCGACACUUUACGAGUCGCCUCCGCGUGCCAAAAAUAGGCCGCGGGCACAGCCGCGCAUAAAAAUAACCGCCCGAAGGCCGGGGCGCCAAAUUCGUCCAGCGGAAAAAGGCCACAAAAACGGGUGGGCUAUAGCCUUGGGGGGUGGGGCUGGCCAAAUUCGUCCGCCGGACUCGGACUGGCGCGAGACUUUACGAGCGGCCUCUGUGUGCCAAAAAUAGGUGCGGCCACUGCCGCGCACAAAAAUAACUGCCCGAAGGCCGGGGCGCCAAGUUCGUUCAGCGGAAAAUGGCCACAAAAACGGGUGGGCUAUAGCCUUGGGGGGUGGGGCUGGCCAACUUCGUGCACCGGACUCGGAAUGGCGCGAGACUUUGCGAGGCGCCUCCGUGUGCUAACAAUAGGCCGCGGUCACAGUCGCGCCCAAAAAUAACCACCCGAAAGCCGGGGCGCCAAGUUCGUCCAGCGGAAAAAGCCCACAAAAACGGGUGGGCUAUAGCCUUGGGGGGUUGGGCUGGCCCACUUCGUCCGCCAGACUCGGAAUGGCGCGAGACCUUGCGAGGCAUCUCCGUGUACCAAAAAUAGGCCACGGGCACAGCCACGCCCAAAAAUAACCGCCCGAAGGCCGGGGCGCCAAGUUCGUCCAGCGGAAAAAGCCCACAAAAACGGGCGGGCUAUAGCCUUGGGGGGUGGUGCUGGCCAACUUCGUCCGCCGGACUCGGAAUGGCGCAAGACUUUGUGAGGCGCCUCCGUGUGCCAAAAAUAGGCCGCGGGCAGAGUCACACCCAAAAAUAACCGCCCGAAAGCCGGGGCGCCAAGUUUGUCCAGUGGAAAAAGGCCACAAAAACGGGUUGGCUAUAGCGUCGGGGGGUGGGGCUGGCCAACUUCGACCGCCGGUCUCGGAAUGGCGCUAGACUUUGGGAGGUGCCUCCAUGUGCAAAAAACAGGCCGUGGGCACAGCCAUGCCCAAAAAUAACCGCCCGAAGGCCGGGGCACCAAGUUCGUCCAGCGGAAAAAGGCCACAAAAACAGGUGGGCUAUAGCCUUGGGGGGUGGGGCUGGCCAACUUCGUCCGCCGGACUCGGAAUGGAGCGAGACUUUGCAAGGCAUCUCCGUGUGCCAAAAAUAGGCCGCGGCAAAAGCCGCGCCCAAAAAUAACCGCCCGAAGGCCGGGGCGCCAAGUUCGUCCAGCGGAAAAACGCCACAGAAACGGGUGGGCUAUAGCCUUGGGGGGUGGGGCUGGCCAACUUCGUCCGCCGGACUCGGAAUGUCGCGGGACUUUGCGAGGCACCUCCGAAGGCCAAAAAUAGGCUGCGGGCAAAGCCGCACCCAAAAAUAACCGCCCGAAGGCCGGGGCGCCAAGUUCGUCCAGCGGAAAAAGGCCACAAAAAAGGGUGGGCUAUAGCCUUGGGGGGUGGGCUAGAGCCUUGGGGGUUGGGCUGGCCACCUUCGUCCGCCUCUUUCGGAAUGCCCCCAGACUUUACGAGGGGCCUCCGUGUGCCAAAAAUAGGCCGCGGGCAAAGCCGCGCCCAAAAAUAACCGCCCGAAGGCCGGGGCGCCAAGUUCGUCCAGCGGAAAAAGGCCACAAAAACGGGUGAGCUAUAGCCUUGGGGGGUGGGGCUGGCCAACUUCGUCCGCCGGACUCGGAAUGCCGCCAGACUUUCCGAGGGGCCUCCGUGUGCCAAAAAUAGGCCGCGGGCAAAGCCGCGCCCAAAAAUAACCGCCCGAAGGCCGGGGCACCAAGUUCGUCCAGCGGAAAAAGGCCACAAAAACGGGUGGGCUAUAGCCUUGGGGGGUGGGGCUGGCCUACUUCGUCCGCCGGACUCGGAAUGCUGCGAGACUUUGCGAGGGACCUCCGUGUGCCAAAAAUAGGCCGCGGGUAAAGCCGCACCCAAAAAUAACCGCCCGAAGGCCGGGGCGCCAAGUUC